ACGUUCUUAGCUCAGUUUGGAUAGAGCAACAGUUUUCUAAGCUGAUGGUCAUGGGUUCGAAUCCUCUAGAACGUA
rnacentral:tRNA from 1 species